rnacentral:rRNA from 1 species
GACGAACGCUGGCGGCAUGCCUAAUACAUGCAAGUCGAACGCUGAAGCACUCUGCUUGCAGAGUGCGGAUGAGUGGCGAACGGGUGAGUAACACGUGGGAAAUCUGCCUAUAAGAGGGGGAUAACAUUCGGAAACGGAUGCUAAUACCGCAUAUAUUCUUGGACCGCCUGGUCCUUGAAAGAAAGACGGCUUUGCUGUCGCUUAUAGAUGAUCCCGCGGCGUAUUAGUUAGUUGGUGGGGUAAAGGCCUACCAAGACAAUGAUACGUAGCCGACCUGAGAGGGUGAUCGGCCACACUGGGACUGAGACACGGCCCAGACUCCUACGGGAGGCAGCAGUAGGGAAUCUUCCACAAUGGGCGAAAGCCUGAUGGAGCAAUGCCGCGUGAAUGAAGAAGGUCUUCGGAUCGUAAAGUUCUGUUAUUAGAGAAGAACAAGUCAAGGAGUAACUGUCUUGACUUUGACGGUACCUAAACAGAAAGUCACGGCUAACUACGUG